rnacentral:rRNA from 1 species
AAUCUUGGACAAUGGGGGAAACCCUGAUCCAGCCAUCCCGCGUGUAGGAUGUAGGACUUCGGGUUGUAAAGUACUUUUGGCAGAGAAGAAAAGUUAUCGCCUAAUACGAGAUACUGCUGACGGUAUCUGCAGAAUAAGCACCGGCUAAAUACGUGCCUGCAACCGCGGUAAUACUUAGGGUGCAAGCGUUAAUCGGAAUUAUUGAGCGAAAAGCGUGUAUAGGCAGUUCGGAAAAAAAGAUGUUAAAACCCAGGGCCCAACCCUGGAACUGCAUUUUUAACUGCCGAGCUAGAGUAUGUCAGAGGGGGGUAGGAUUCCACGUGUAGCAGUGAAAUGCGUAGAUAUGUGGAGGAAUACCGAUGGCGAAGGCAGCCCCCUGGGAUAAUACUGACGCUCAGACACGAAAGCGUGGGGAGCAAACAG